rnacentral:lncRNA from 1 species
CACAGAGGGGGGAGGGGGGAUAGAGGUGCAGAGAGAGAGAGGUACAGAAAGAGAGAGAGAGGCACAACGUUGUGCUGGAACACAAGAGAAAGUCGACAAUCAACAGUCAACUUCGAAUCAGCAAAGCAUGUGAGAAUAUCAGAACAUUUCCCACAUCAGAGGCAGAUCACCAUGACUGAAGUGGUAGCAGGGAAGACGUGGCAACCGCUGAAAUAACAAUAAAACCUCAUAUCAUAUCCUUACUGUACAACUCUUACAGAUUAGUCAGAACAAGAAUACCUCCUCAAACUAAAAAUCUGAAGUAAUCAGUCACCAAUUUCACAGGCGCUGCACAUGAGCUAAUCAAAUCACUCAAUCUUAUUUAUCCAUCAUCUUUGAUGUAUCUACACUUCAUCCACCCUCCCACCCUUUUGGCAGGAGGAGGGGGAGUCUGGAAACUGGACAUCCUGUCUUUAGUGGAGUCUGUCUUGACCGUGUAAGAUACACUGAGUUUCUAUUACCUUGUGGAUUUCUGAAGAAAUUGUUGCUGAAGGAAUUCAAUUCCGAGAAACAGCACAACACCACACACCCAUCACACCACAGGAGAUGGUGGCACCUUAAUCGGGGAGAAAGGGGUCGUGGUAAUGACUGGAGCAGGUUCAGGGGAAUGGUAUGAAAUACAUCAAACACAUGGUUUCCAGGUGUUUAAUGCCAUUCCAUUUGCUCCAUUCCGCACAUUAUUAUUAGCAGUCACGAAUGUUUGAUCUUGAACAGAACAUGACACGCAGAAAUCGUAAUGUUCAACCUGCGAGGACAGAUACAGAAACCGGGAAAAUUCCGAGCAACACAGCUCAAACAAAUGGAUUGGAGAGUUAUAUUUGUCUGCGCAGUAGCAUGGCAUGUUUCACUGGUGUCACAAUCUUAUGCCACAGGUGGUGUGAAUACAUCUCUCUCUACAGCUCAGAGCAACUUGUCUCUGUGUUUCACCUGCAACGGUGAGAGAUGUCAAGAUGUGAAAAAGAUUUUCAACUCAAUGAGAGAUGACAAAAUUUGGACGCAAAGUACUGCAACGUCUGCCCUUCUUGGCUGUUCCCUGACCUCGUCUCCCUUUGCUGGGAAGUGUGUGCCAUGUGUUGAGGACCGCAAGGUCUACAUUGUUUGCCUUGACAUGCCCAAGGAUCUCAAACUGGACCUGGAGGAUGGUGAUGGCAACUCAUUUUCCUACACUGAAGCUACAUGCCCUAGACUGACGGCGUCUAGAGCUGUAGGUCACGCUGGACACAACAGUAAUUUCAGUGUUUGUGAGUUUCCUAGUGGAGUCAGAGGUCUUGCUGGGCAUGGUGGAGCAAUGAUCAGCAUUGGCAUGUUAGCAGCUGCCGUCAUCUUUGUCGCUUACUACAGAAGCCAGACCAAAUCAAGUAUUGUCUAGUGUCAACUUCAGAAGUCCACUCAGAGGAACACCAGACCCAUUUAAAGUUAUUAAAGACUGUCACGUCUACUGCUCCCCCUCUCCGGCGCACAGAGGGAGGGGGGCAGAACAUGAGACAGAGCUGCAUUUCAUGACAAAAUGUGAAAAAUAUAAAACAAUUAGAGAGUGUAAUUUCCCCAUUUUGAAACCCUUAUUCAAGGUUUCAAAGACCUCUCUGGUGAGAGUAGGCUACCCUUCCUGUUGGGGGAAGACGCAGAGAGCUGGGGGUUGGCAGCGCACUACAUUGCUGCCUGCCAUAAGAUGAGGGACAGUGUCUGACAGACCAAUCAACCUGCACAUAAGCUUUGGCAAUAUGUACAUUGUUACGUUAUGCCAAUAAAGUGAAUUGAAUUGACACACCCACACACACACACACACACACACACACACACACACACACACACACACACACACACACACACACACACACACACACACACACACACACACACACACAGAGAGAGAGAGGGGGAGGGAGAGAGAGCACAGGGGGGGGGGGGAGAGAGGCACAGUUAGGGAGAGAGGCACAGAGGGGGGAGAGAGAGAGCACAGAGGGGGAGGGGAGAGAGAGGGACAGAGGGGGGAUAGAGGUGCAGAGAGAGAGGUACAGAAAGAGAUAAUGCUGAACCUGAGUGGCUUCUGCCUUAGAACAGGACAGGUGAGGCUGUGUUGGUUAAGGAAUGUAUCUGUUAUUUAGCAGGUCACUGGGGACACAGAGAGGGAAUGCAAAGACAGGGAGAACAGCAAGUCGUACCUACUUACUAGAGCAAAGGCCAUUUGGAAGCAUGGUUUGAUCAGGAGGCUCACUUGAAGACAGUGGAUUACAAUAUCCUACUGGUCCUCAGCCACCUCCUUUAUAACAUCCAAAAUGUCAUCUUUAGAUUGAUUUGAUUAGGCACAAUACAAGCCGGGAUUUCUGGCUGCUCUAUUAGCAGGGCUAUUUCUCCAUGUUGUGGAUGUCUAUUCAUAUGUUUGUAUGUAUGCUGUCACUGUUUUAUUAUUAUUUGGAAAACCCCUACCCUGCCCCCCUUCCUCCUGAGAAGUGAUCAGCAGUCAUACCACUCUGAGCCCACCCACCACCUGAUCAUCCUGUCCUCUACCGUUACACCCCGCUGGAAACAGGAAACUACUGUGGAAAUGUGUAUAUUUGCAGAGCAAGUCGAUCAUAUCAGAUUGUUUAAUUAAAUAGAAUGUUCUGGAUCCCCCUCUCUGACACCAGCCUGAAACAUGUGACCUCACAGUAUACCUACAGUCUGAGCCAAAUGCUUAAGAACUAUUAGAGAAGAAUAAACACACUUCACAAUCACCACUAUAAUCUAAAACAUUAGGCUCACAACUUUCACAUUGCCAGAGACCUUAGAACACAAUAAGCAGACAGCUGUGGAUAUCAGAACAAAUAAACAUGGUAAUAUCCUGAAUGUGUAGCUUAUAGAGAGACCGGAAGUAUGGUGUAGAGAGACACAGCUCCAGGACUACACCCAGAAAACCCCUACAGUUUCCCAAUGAUGGCCAAAGGUUAAGUUGCUGCUGUGUGUGUGAGAGAGAGAGAAAGUGAGUUCUGUCUGAGGAGAACAGGGCAGGUGAGGCUACAGAAAUGUGCCUGUUAUUCAGCUGACUGCUCUUCCCCUUUUCGACUGAGUCAGUCUAGCUUGGACAAAACAUUUCUCAGAAACAGAUAGUAUAUGUGGUUUCCAUGGACACAGAGAUGUUACAGCUCGUUGAAAAAAGGAAACGUCACUAAACUGUUUAGUUAAAUAGGAGGUUCUAGGUCCCUCUAGCACCAGUCUGAAACAUGAGACCUCACAGUACCUACUGCUCAUUGCAGUGCAAUAAGUGGGCUGCUCUACUUGCCCAUUGUUGGGUUCUAGCUUGAAAUACACUUAUUCACAUUACCAUACUAGACCUUAUUGGUGCUUUACAUGUAUAAGGAAUGUAUAUGUUAGGGUCAAUGGAGGGUGGAUAAGAACUAGGUGUAUGGAAAGUUACUGGCUGACACAAUGGAGUGCAGAAAGUUUACAUUCUGUCAAAACAUGCUAUUGUUAAAUCUCAUGGCUCGUAAAGAGGGAGGCACAGGGCAACAGUCUUGUUUCAGUCACUGAUAAGGUAGGACAGUCGUAGAGUAGUGAGGAGCGAGGAAUUCGGACCGAGGUCAGAUCAGAUGAAGUGAGAGGAACAGUCCUAUUACACACACACACACUUCGACUCCCACAAAUGUUCUAGCAUCAGGCAGGGCCAUGACUACACCAGUGAGAGGAACCAAUUAAGUAGAAACAGAGAUGUAUUGGCUGUCUAGAUGUGCAAGGAGUUGAC